ACGAUGACUCAGCAGCAUUAGCUCUAUAGAUUUUAAUUGUAGUUAUUUUGACAACUUUUCACUUAGAUUGACCGACUUUUCUACUUUUCUCCAACAGCAUUGCCUCUUAUAUGAUACCCUUGGUCGGGUCUUUUUUUUGUGUGAUGUGAAGGAGAUUUUCUGGAUUCUUUGACUGGAACGCUGCCCUCAUCUCUGCUGGUGUACUGUGGCGAAUUUCAGUCUGGCGAGCUACCCAUCGACCUAUCUAAAAGAAGAGAACUAUUACAGUUACCCACCACGAUAGUAGGACAAGAACUUGUGCAUCUUUUCCUCUUCACAAGUUGAGAGCCAAGAACUGAUUUGAUUAUUGAUUGUGUGAUACUAUGUUGAAUAUGUUAUAACUAUAUGUGUAUAGAAGUAAUGUGAUAAGUUUUCUUUCAUUUUAUUUAAGAAUCUGAAAUAACAUUUCAAAUACAGAGUCCUGGUUCCCAAAAUUAGAAUAUAUAGCUUAGCUACUAAAUUUAAAUAAAACCAUUAGUUUAUAUUAAAUAGGGAUAAUUAAAACAGAAGUAACAACACUAAAUGAUACCAAAAUAGUUAUAAAAUAAAUAGGUACAAAUAAUUAAAACCAGGAUACUCUCAAAUUCAAGGUAACUGAACAUAUAUAUGUAUAUCAAAUGUUUAUCUGAAAGAAAGGGAAUAAAUAUUAUAGCUUUCUGUACCUUUUCCAAACAACGUCUGCUUUGUGUCUUUUCACCUUUGUUGCACAGUAUCCAUUUUCUCCUGAGCAACCUAGACUUCUGAUGUGCUGGUCCACCCACUGAAAUUUCUACAUUUAUAUUAGAGAGGUUUGAUCGAAACAGAUUCGUAUAAAUAAUUCUGUGCUCAGCAUUCACUUUUGGUGCAUGUGUUACACAAUACAUUAGGAACCAUGUAAAGCCAACAUUGAAAAGGGCUACAUAGUGUUGUAAGGAGAUGAGUGUUUUCACAGGUGUUGUAAACGUUUUUUUAUUUUCAGUUCUGUAAUCAUUCACCAUGUUCGGUUACAAAUAAAUGCUUUUUCUUGACAUUAAGCAGAUAUUUAAUGUCAUUAAAACAGAAAAACAAAAUGGAUUCUACAAUACAAAAACAUACACAGCUCUCAUUUAAAACCCAACAGGAACAUACAGUACUGUGACUCUCAUAAGCUUCCUAUUGCCCCCUUUUCUACAGCUCCCAAACCAAAGCAGCUAAUUGACAAUAAUGCAUAUAAAUCCCAGUGAAAAGAGAAAGUUCCACAGUGUAGUAGCAGUCGCAUACAAGCAUAUCAUCAGAGCAGGGGGUGGGGGGGGGAAAGUUUCUUUGGAAACAAUGACAAAUCUUGGGCGUUAUAUUGUGACAAAAUCAGUUUUACAUUUCGUUACAACAGUAUCCUCACUCUCGUCUCAGGUCCUCUGUCCUCCAGAGUAGGAGUGUACCUGGAUCACAGAGCAGGUGUUCUGUCCUUCUACAGCGUCUCUGAAACCAUGACUCUCCUCCACAGAGUGCAGACCACAUUCACUCAGCCACUACAUGCUGGACUUCAGCUUGAUUGUGAUGAUGGAGACACUGCUGAGUUUUGUAAACUCAAAUAGCCUGAAGUCAUUGGAGGAACUCUUCUACUUCUUAAACUCACCGUGUGUCCAUCAGAGCUGAUUGUUCAUGUCUUCACUGUGCAGAGAUCAGCUGUCAAUCAAACAUGAUGGGUGGGGCUUGAACGUCUUCUCAUGAGUUGUUCUGUAGAUGUUGGACUUUCUUCCGGCUCCUUCCUGGGUCUGUGUAGCCAUGGAGGCUGUCACUGCUCAGGAGGAUCCUUGGUCACCUGUAAACUUUGCUCUAAAGAUUUGCUGGAUGUUUCUUUUGAUUCAUGUUGUUUCUCUUGUAAUGCACGAGUCUUCAGAGACAUUUUGAAUCACAUGUAUUACUUUGACAGAUUACAUGUUAUUGUUGCUGCCCAAAUUAACUAACACAUUAAACCCAGAUGGUUAUAACAAUUAUUUCAUCAUAACAUGUUUAUUUAAAAUGAUAUUACUUCCUGUCAUGAUCAUAAUCAAUAAGUCAAUCAUUUAUUAUUCUGUUUGAAAUAGCUUAGAGUCUUUGCUUGGGAAAUCAAUGGUAUAAUAUUACAGACUAAUUGUUGUUGUUGUCCAAAUAGAAAUUGGGUACUCUGAUGUUUUAUAGAACAUACAUUAUCAUGAUCAUAAUCAAUAAGUAAAUCAUGCAUCAUUCUGUUUGAAAUAGCUGAGAUGAAACUCAUUCAUGGUGUGGAUAAAGGGAAAGUGAUCAUGAAAUCAUUGAUCAAUAGUCAUUGAACAGACUUUACUGAUGGGAUGUGUGAUCAAAUGAAAUGUUUGGAUAAUGAAUAAAGUAGAAACUGAAACAGGA